rnacentral:rRNA from 1 species
ACGGAAGGCAGCAGUGGGGAAUUUUGCGCAAUGGGGGGAACCCUGACGCAGCAACGCCGCGUGCGGGAUGAAGGCCUUCGGGCUGUAAACCGCUUUCAGCAGGGACGAUUAUGACGGUACCUGCAGAAGAAGCUCCGGCUAACUACGUGCCAGCAGCCGCGGUAAUACGUAGGGAGCGAGCGUUAUCCGGAUUCAUUGGGCGUAAAGCGCGCGUAGGCGGCUUGCUAAGCGGAACCUCUAAUCCGAGGGCUCAACCCCCGGCCGGGUUCCGAACUGGCAGGCUCGAGUGCGGUAGGGGCAAGUGGAAUUCCAUGUGUAGCGGUGGAAUGCGCAGAUAUAUGGAAGAACACCGAUGGCGAAGGCAGCUUGCUGGGCCGACACUGACGCUGAGGUGCGAAAGCGUGGGGAGCGAACAGGAUUAGAUACCCUGGUA